AGCUGGUCCGAUGGUAGUGGGUUAUCAGAACUUAUUAACACUAGCGUCACUAAAAUUAGUAUACAACCCCCCACUGCUAUAUUUGACUGGCUAAAA
rnacentral:Y_RNA from 1 species